UACGUAGGGCGCAAGCGUUGUCCGGAAUUAUUGGGCGUAAAGAGCUCGUAGGCGGCUUGUCACGUCGGAUGUGAAAGCCCGGGGCUUAACCCCGGGUCUGCAUUCGAUACGGGCAGGCUAGAGUUCGGUAGGGGAGAUCGGAACUCCUGGUGUAGCGGUGAAAUGACGCAGAUAUCAGGAGGAACACCGGUGGCGAAGGCGGCAUCCUGGACCGAUACUGACGCUGAGGAGCGAAAGCCAGGGGAGCAAACGGG
rnacentral:rRNA from 1 species